rnacentral:lncRNA from 13 species
GGCUUUCUGGCUUUCCGGCUGACGGCACGUUGGGAGCAAAGGUGGGCAGGCCAGGAGACGAGGGCCCAUGCGGGGGCUGGGUGGGGCUGAGCACAGGUUCCACCUAGAGGGGCAUGUGAGUUGGACCUAGCAAUCAGCAGACACUAAGGAGCACAUCAUGUAUGCUGAGUCCAGUCGGGGGAGACGGGGAAGAACUGGAUGCAAGAACCGACGUCAGCAGACCCUCCCCGGCCUCUGCCUCUGCGCGGUGGGGGAAGAAGAGAGGCAGGAACCCCGUGUCUCCCGGAGUGUCAUCUUGCAGGGUGACUGGGGGGAGUGGGAGGGGGCUGCAGACCUUCCCCCAGGGCUCCCGGGCGUCGCCAGGCUGUUCUGGCGCUGGGAGGGGCUGCUGCUUGGGCCCUGGCUGUCUCAGCUCCCCUGACAGAGCUCUGGCUACAGAGCCCAGAGCCCCAGCCGGGCCGGGCACUGGAGAGGGAUGUGGGGCAUUCCCGGCCCUCCCCAGCACCCGCUAUCUGGAGUGGCCUGACCCCACCCAGACAAUCGGCCCCAGUGGAGAGAGACGCUGGGGCCUGAGUGCUGCGCCAGCUCCGGCGGGAGAGCAGCUCUGUGCUUGCCAAGGGCGUCUGGAGGGGGCGCCCGGGGGCUCCACGCAGCUCGGCAGAGCCUGGCAGCCUGUGCAGCCCCUGGAGGAAGCAUGCCAAGGCCCGGAGGAGGGUCACAGGGCAUGGGGCGGGGCCUGCACCGAGCUCCUCUUCUGCGCCCUGGAGGGGCCUUCUGCCUGUGGCCGCACCUCUGCAUGCCCGGGCUGUCCCCCUGGGAGGGAACCUGAGGAUGAAGGCCUCAGACCUCGGUACCCUGGGGGCUGCUCCUGCAUCCCCCGCCUGCAGGCCUCUGCAGUGCCUCCCUCCAUGCCAGACACAGCGUGUGAUUCCUGAGGAAGGGGAGGAGAUGCCCACCCCACCCCCAUCUGGGGCCUCCGGGCAGAGGUGCAGCCUGUCUCACCCACGUGGGGGGUCCUGGGAUUCCAGAAAGCCCCCUCUUCCCACACGAAAGGCCUUUCAGUCCCCACUAAGGCCCACCCAGCGCCCGAGGCCGGCCUUUCUUCCUCUCUUUCGACACCUGCCUGAGUGCCGUGGCAGAAACCUGACUCCCUGCUCAGGCCCCGACCUGCCGGCCGCCCUCUCCGCAAGCUCCUCUCCCACGGGGAGGGCACAGGCACCAGGACCCAGUGGAGACCUGCUGGUUCUGGGAGGCACUGGGGUCCUACCCCACCCUGGCUCCUGGGAAAAGUGCUCUGCCCGCACACAGACCCUUGGCAGUGAGUUCUGCCGACACCCCCAGCCUUCGCUUUCCCACCUCUGAACAGGGUGGACCCUUGCCACAGGGUCCCACGUUUUUGGGUCCUACGUUUUUGUCGCAAUGGGAAACAUGAGUAGCUGCUGCAGAGCCCCGCCCAGCCCAAGGGUGUGAGUCUGAGCCACCCCACCUCUCACUGGCAAGGCAGACUGUGAACCACCAUUUCUUCCAGGGCACACAGCCCCCAGCUCCCCACUCAGCACAGCCCCUCUCUGCUCCUGGGGGAAGGGGAGGGACCCUUGGGUGUGGAGUCUUGUGUGAGUCUGGCAAGUCUCACCCCAGGGCCCCUGGGUGCCAGGGGAGACGGGGGGUUCUGCCCAGGCACAUCCGGGGCUCGUGACACCUCUCCAGGACGUGAUCAGAGCUGGGGUAAAGGGGCAGGGCUGGGUGGGCUCGUGGGGUGGGCUGGAUAGGAGAUCCUGACUGGAGGCCCACAGGCCCCUGGCUCACCGAGCCCAGCCUCGCCUUUUCCCUGCAACUCCUAGGCUGGGGACAGGUGGCCUGAUGCCCUUGGCUUCCCUUACCAGUGCCGGCUGCCGAAGACAGGGUGGAUGAUGGGGCCUUCUUUCCUCUACAGCGAUGGGGAAGGAGCCAGGUGACCUGGCCCUAAGCAAGGGACCUCCCUGUGGGGGAAGCUGCCUGGCAGGAGCUCUAGGUGGGCUCAGUGGAGGAGGGCUGGCCAUGUACCGGGAUGCUCCUGGAUUCGGGCGAGCUCCUGGUUACCCAGGACCAGUCCCCACAAUCCUCCAUACCGAACCUGGUGGGGUGUGAUUGUGCAGGCCGGGCACUGCUCGCAGGACCUGGGCCAUCUUUCUAAGGUGUGAAUUGGAGCCUUCGUGCACCAGUGAAACCCAGCACAGCACCCACUGCCCGAAGGUUGAAGCCUGAGUCCUCCGCCCCUGCCUGCCCCCGCACCCCUGCCUCAUCUUGGGUGACUCCUCUGAGAGCCGGGCCGGGGAGCCCCCUGCCACCCCCAUCAGUGCCUGGUCACAUGGGCCGUUGCUGUGUGGACCCUGGGUCAUCUCCUCCCCCGGCCUCUGGGCUCUGCCUCAGCUGGAGGGGCCUAAAUAAAGCCAUGUUGGAACCCCA